rnacentral:misc_RNA from 1 species
UUUCCGUAGGUGAACCAGCGGAAGGAUCAUUACUGAAUAACCAACUUGCAAGCCCUGACGUUGACCCGAACGGUCGUGCACGCCCCAGUACCCCCACACCCACCCAUCCCACCCCUCUGUGCACCACCGGGUACGCCCCACUCUUGCUUGUUUGGCAGGGGUCUUACGUUUUCACACACACUAUUAAUGCAAUAUAGUAUAUAUUGUUUGUUUUUGCGAUGACGCCAUCAAAACAACCUUCAACAACGAAUCUCUUGGCUCUCACAUCGAUGAAGACCC